rnacentral:rRNA from 1 species
UUAAGCGACUAAGCGUACACGGUGGAUGCCCUGGCAGUCAGAGGCGAUGAAGGACGUGCUAAUCUGCGAUAAGCGUCGGUAAGGUGAUAUGAACCGUUAUAACCGGCGAUUUCCGAAUGGGGAAACCCAGUGUGAUUCGUCACACUAUCAUUAACUGAAUCCAUAGGUUAAUGAGGCGAACCGGGGGAACUGAAACAUCUAAGUACCCCGAGGAAAAGAAAUCAACCGAGAUUCCCCCAGUAGCGGCGAGCGAACGGGGAGGAGCCCAGAGCCUGAAUCAGUGUGUGUGUUAGUGGAAGCGUCUGGAAAGGCGCGCGAUACAGGGUGACAGCCCCGUACACAAAAAUGCACAUAUUGUGAGCUCGAUGAGUAGGGCGGGACACGUGGUAUCCUGUCUGAAUAUGGGGGGACCAUCCUCCAAGGCUAAAUACUCCUGACUGACCGAUAGUGAACCAGUACCGUGAGGGAAAGGCGAAAAGAACCCCGGCGAGGGGAGUGAAAAAGAACCUGAAACCGUGUACGUACAAGCAGUGGGAGCACGCUUAGGCGUGUGACUGCGUACCUUUUGUAUAAUGGGUCAGCGACUUAUAUUCUGUAGCAAGGUUAACCGAAUAGGGGAGCCGAAGGGAAACCGAGUCUUAACUGGGCGUUAAGUUGCAGGGUAUAGACCCGAAACCCGGUGAUCUAGCCAUGGGCAGGUUGAAGGUUGGGUAACACUAACUGGAGGACCGAACCGACUAAUGUUGAAAAAUUAGCGGAUGACUUGUGGCUGGGGGUGAAAGGCCAAUCAAACCGGGAGAUAGCUGGUUCUCCCCGAAAGCUAUUUAGGUAGCGCCUCGUGAAUUCAUCUCCGGGGGUAGAGCACUGUUUCGGCAAGGGGGUCAUCCCGACUUACCAACCCGAUGCAAACUGCGAAUACCGGAGAAUGUUAUCACGGGAGACACACGGCGGGUGCUAACGUCCGUCGUGAAGAGGGAAACAACCCAGACCGCCAGCUAAGGUCCCAAAGUCAUGGUUAAGUGGGAAACGAUGUGGGAAGGCCCAGACAGCCAGGAUGUUGGCUUAGAAGCAGCCAUCAUUUAAAGAAAGCGUAAUAGCUCACUGGUCGAGUCGGCCUGCGCGGAAGAUGUAACGGGGCUAAACCAUGCACCGAAGCUGCGGCAGCGACGCUUAUGCGUUGUUGGGUAGGGGAGCGUUCUGUAAGCCUGUGAAGGUGUGCUGUGAGGCAUGCUGGAGGUAUCAGAAGUGCGAAUGCUGACAUAAGUAACGAUAAAGCGGGUGAAAAGCCCGCUCGCCGGAAGACCAAGGGUUCCUGUCCAACGUUAAUCGGGGCAGGGUGAGUCGACCCCUAAGGCGAGGCCGAAAGGCGUAGUCGAUGGGAAACAGGUUAAUAUUCCUGUACUUGGUGUUACUGCGAAGGGGGGACGGAGAAGGCUAUGUUGGCCGGGCGACGGUUGUCCCGGUUUAAGCGUGUAGGCUGGUUUUCCAGGCAAAUCCGGAAAAUCAAGGCUGAGGCGUGAUGACGAGGCACUACGGUGCUGAAGCAACAAAUGCCCUGCUUCCAGGAAAAGCCUCUAAGCAUCAGGUAACAUCAAAUCGUACCCCAAACCGACACAGGUGGUCAGGUAGAGAAUACCAAGGCGCUUGAGAGAACUCGGGUGAAGGAACUAGGCAAAAUGGUGCCGUAACUUCGGGAGAAGGCACGCUGAUAUGUAGGUGAGGUCCCUCGCGGAUGGAGCUGAAAUCAGUCGAAGAUACCAGCUGGCUGCAACUGUUUAUUAAAAACACAGCACUGUGCAAACACGAAAGUGGACGUAUACGGUGUGACGCCUGCCCGGUGCCGGAAGGUUAAUUGAUGGGGUUAGCGCAAGCGAAGCUCUUGAUCGAAGCCCCGGUAAACGGCGGCCGUAACUAUAACGGUCCUAAGGUAGCGAAAUUCCUUGUCGGGUAAGUUCCGACCUGCACGAAUGGCGUAAUGAUGGCCAGGCUGUCUCCACCCGAGACUCAGUGAAAUUGAACUCGCUGUGAAGAUGCAGUGUACCCGCGGCAAGACGGAAAGACCCCGUGAACCUUUACUAUAGCUUGACACUGAACAUUGAGCCUUGAUGUGUAGGAUAGGUGGGAGGCUUAGAAGUGUGGACGCCAGUCUGCAUGGAGCCGACCUUGAAAUACCACCCUUUAAUGUUUGAUGUUCUAACGUUGACCCGUAAUCCGGGUUGCGGACAGUGUCUGGUGGGUAGUUUGACUGGGGCGGUCUCCUCCUAAAGAGUAACGGAGGAGCACGAAGGUUGGCUAAUCCUGGUCGGACAUCAGGAGGUUAGUGCAAUGGCAUAAGCCAGCUUGACUGCGAGCGUGACGGCGCGAGCAGGUGCGAAAGCAGGUCAUAGUGAUCCGGUGGUUCUGAAUGGAAGGGCCAUCGCUCAACGGAUAAAAGGUACUCCGGGGAUAACAGGCUGAUACCGCCCAAGAGUUCAUAUCGACGGCGGUGUUUGGCACCUCGAUGUCGGCUCAUCACAUCCUGGGGCUGAAGUAGGUCCCAAGGGUAUGGCUGUUCGCCAUUUAAAGUGGUACGCGAGCUGGGUUUAGAACGUCGUGAGACAGUUCGGUCCCUAUCUGCCGUGGGCGCUGGAGAACUGAGGGGGGCUGCUCCUAGUACGAGAGGACCGGAGUGGACGCAUCACUGGUGUUCGGGUUGUCAUGCCAAUGGCACUGCCCGGUAGCUAAAUGCGGAAGAGAUAAGUGCUGAAAGCAUCUAAGCACGAAACUUGCCCCGAGAUGAGUUCUCCCUGACCCUUUAAGGGUCCUGAAGGAACGUUGAAGACGACGACGUUGAUAGGCCGGGUGUGUAAGCGCAGCGAUGCGUUGAGCUAACCGGUACUAAUGAACCGUGAGGCUUAACCU